rnacentral:tRNA from 1 species
AAGAUGCUAGUAAAAAUGGAAUUACACUGCCUUGUCAAGGCAAAAUUGUGGGUUAGAAGCCCGCGCACCUUA